AUUGAAUAAGAAUUGUCUGUCAUCUCUAUUUGGUCUAGAUCAACUAAAUGGUUAGAUAAGAUUGAAAGAAAAAGAUUCCAGAGUGCAGUGCUUUUGCUAUGGCUCUGGCGCCGAAAGUGUUUGAGUCCUUCUGGUAGGAUAGCGUAAUAAAAGUGUAAGCGUCUCAAAAAACCCCUAUCAAACUCUCGUAGAAAGAGAGACUGAUUAAAAAGUCAGUCUCUCUUCCUUCCCGCCUUCCCUCUUCUGCUCUUCCUGUCCUAAAUAACGUCAGUCUCAUAUAGCUCGAAUUUGAAUCAAAUUAAACAAAGCAGAUCAAUCAAAGAAGUUGAAAAGCCAGGUCUGAUCGAUGAUGUCACGAAAUACCUUUUCACUCUUGU
rnacentral:misc_RNA from 1 species